UCCUGUUUUUUUGGUGAGAUGCAUCGUG
rnacentral:sRNA from 1 species